rnacentral:tRNA from 1 species
GGAGUUGUGGCUCAGCGGUAGAGCGCUCCCCUAGCACAUGUGAGGCCCUGGGUUCGAUCCUCAGCACCA